rnacentral:lncRNA from 1 species
UGUGUAUAAACUCCAAUGGAGAAAGAUGAGAGCUUGCUCUAGGUGAUUUAGAAAGAGAGAUUGAUGAGAGUGUUUACUUAAAUCAGAAACAAGAGACUUUGAGAGAUUAAGAGAUUAGAGACUAAGAAAGGGGUAGAUUAAGGGAAUCUGAUUCAAGAACACAUUUUCUUAUUUCCAAGAAGUGGAGAGGGGAAAUCCCCCUUACUCCCUUAACCCUUACAAAUCGCCAACCUUAGGCUUA